CCGGUGCCCGGUCUACAAAAUGCGCACAUACCUCGUGAUUGGGAACCAGCGACAAAUCGGUAAAGUGCAUGCUGGGUAGCACGAGUUUAUACGGUAUCUUAUGCACGGGUGACUGAUGCGAGUAGACGUAUUUUCCCAAGCUGAGUAUUGCUUGGAGUAAUUGUGAGCCUGAGUGAGUAAUUGUGAGCCUGAGUAUAGAUUAUAUUGUAUUAUAUUGUAUUAUAUUGUAUUUUAUGUGUGUUCAACACGUAUUUACCUGGAAGGCCAUUCCCAGAAGAUAUAAGUGAGACUGUGACUGUGUAUGUGAGUCUGUGAGUUGCCUGUGAUUGUGUAAAUGACAGGCAUUUCCCUGGAAGUGUAUUCCCAGAAGUAUAUGUGUAUGUAAGCCGGUGACUGUGUGUUUAAGUACGUAUUUGCCUGGAGGUGUAUUCCCAGAAGUACAUGUAUAGUGCCAUUUUGUGACGUGCAACCGACGAGUAUAGCCGACGAGUUCCCUCGACGACGACGAGGACGUUUGGUGCAUCCUGACGAGGAUUCCGGUUGAUGCCCAUGUGAAGGCGUUUUCACAUCAAAAAUGUUUCAAGAAGGAGAUUUCCUUUUGGAAUAUAAAGGUGACUUGAUUACAAAGUGCAGCGUUGCCAGACAAUUAGAAACAGAUUAUGAGGAGGAAAACAGAGGGUGUUUU